rnacentral:rRNA from 1 species
GAUGAACGCUGGCGGCGUGCCUAAUACAUGCAAGUCGAGCGAACAGACGAGGAGCUUGCUCCUCUGACGUUAGCGGCGGACGGGUGAGUAACACGUGGAUAACCUACCUAUAAGACUGGGAUAACUUCGGGAAACCGGAGCUAAUACCGGAUAAUAUAUUGAACCGCAUGGUUCAAUAGUGAAAGACGGUUUUGCUGUCACUUAUAGAUGGAUCCGCGCCGCAUUAGCUAGUUGGUAAGGUAACGGCUUACCAAGGCGACGAUGCGUAGCCGACCUGAGAGGGUGAUCGGCCACACUGGAACUGAGACACGGUCCAGGCUCCUACGGGAGGCAGCAGUAGGGAAUCUUCCGCAAUGGGCGAAAGCCUGACGGAGCAACGCCGCGUGAGUGAUGAAGGUCUUCGGAUCGUAAAACUCUGUUAUUAGGGAAGAACAAAUGUGUAAGUAACUAUGCACGUCUGGACGGUACCUAAUCAGAAAACCACGGCUAACUACGU